CUUUCCCUCUUUCUUCCUGCUUUCCCCCUGCACGUCGACCGGCAGCGCGGGCUUCGGCCUGGCGGCGAGUGGCGAACGGGUGAGUAAUACAUCGGAACGUGCCCAGUAGUGGGGGAUAGCUCGGCGAAAGCCGGAUUAAUACCGCAUACGACCUGAGGGUGAAAGCGGGGGAUCUUCGGACCUCGCGCUAUUGGAGCGGCCGAUGGCAGAUUAGCUAGUUGGUGGGGUAAAGGCCUACCAAGGCGACGAUCUGUAGCUGGUCUGAGAGGACGACCAGCCACACUGGGACUGAGACACGGCCCAGACUCCUACGGGAGGCAGCAGUGGGGAAUUUUGGACAAUGGGCGAAAGCCUGAUCCAGCAAUGCCGCGUGUGUGAUGAAGGCCUUCGGGUUGUAAAGCACUUUGGGCGGGAACGAAAAGGACUGUGCCAAUACCACGGUUCGAUGACGGUACCCGCAGAAUAAGCACCGGCUAACUACGUG
rnacentral:rRNA from 1 species